ACUCAAAGGAAUUGACGGGGGCCCGCACAAGCGGUGGAGCAUGUGGUUUAAUUCGACGCAACGCGAAGAACCUUACCUGGGUUUGACAUGCAGGGGACCGGUGCUGAAAGGCACCUUCUCUUCGGAGCCGCUGCACAGGUGCUGCAUGGCUGUCGUCAGCUCGUGUCGUGAGAUGUUGGGUUAAGUCCCGCAACGAGCGCAACCCUCGCCCUCUGUUGCUACCGGGUCAUGCCGGGCACUCUGAGGGGACUGCCCCGGUGAACGGGGAGGAAGGUGGGGAUGACGUCAAGUCCUCAUGGCCUUUAUGUCCAGGGCUACACACGUGCUACAAUGGUCAGGACAAUGGGUCGCUCCCUCGCAAGAGGUUGCCAAUCUCAAAAACCUGGCCUUAGUUCGGAUGGUUGGCUGCAACUCGCCGGCCUGAAGCUGGAAUCGCUAGUAAUCGGAGAUCAGCACGCUCCGGUGAAUACGUUCCCGGGCCUUGUACACACCGCCCGU
rnacentral:rRNA from 1 species